GAUGAACGCUAGCGGGAGGCUUAACACAUGCAAGUCGAGGGGCAGCAUAGGGUAGCAAUACUCUGAUGGCGACCGGCAAACGGGUGAGUAACGCGUAUGCAACCUACCCUGUACAGGGGGAUAACCCGGAGAAAUUCGGACUAAUAUCCCGUAAUAAUAUCCGGAGGCAUCUUUGGAUAUUUAAAGUUCCGACGGUACGGGAUGGGCAUGCGUAACAUUAGCUGGUUGGUAAGGUAACGGCUUACCAAGGCUAUGAUGUUUAGGGGUCCUGAGAGGGUGGUCCCCCACACUGGUACUGAGACACGGACCAGACUCCUACGGGAGGCAGCAGUGAGGAAUAUUGGUCAAUGGGCGCAAGCCUGAACCAGCCAUCCCGCGUGCAGGAAGACGGCCCUAUGGGUUGUAAACUGCUUUUCCAGGGAGAGAAACUUACGCACGUGUUGCGUGACUGACGGUACCCUGGGAAUAAGCAUCGGCUAACUCCGUGCCAGCAGCCGCGGUAAUAUC
rnacentral:rRNA from 1 species